rnacentral:lncRNA from 1 species
GACAACAUUUGUACAACCCAGUGCAAUUGCUUCUUGGCUCUGGGAGGGGGGGAGGAAAGAAAAUGAAUAUGGAAACAUGCAAAAAUAUUUACAAAUAAAAAUACAAUAAAUCCUACUUCAUAUUUUGCAGGAAAAAAGGACUGUGUAGCAAUAAGUUGAAUACAGAUGGGGAAGAGAUCUACUAAUGCGAAUUGACCACAUGCAUCAAAGAAUGGUGACACGGUAUUCCUGACCACUGAUGGUGCUAUCUUGCCUUGACUCCAGAGGGGGAAUCUAAAUACUCCUCCCUAGUUCAAUUCUCCGCCUCAGGGAUGGAGGCUCAGCAGAUUCUCCUGUCUGACUACUUCUCCGUUUCAUUUACUGGAUUGUCAUCCACAUCAUGCUGUACGUCUGUGCAAGCCUAAAGGUUUAUGUUGUCACUGCAAGUGGUGCCCAGCGUGUAUUGCCCUUCAGACCAACACUGCCUUCCUCCAGACUUUUCUCGUUCACUCAGGAUGGUCAAAGCAGAUGGUCAAUAGACACCAAAGAUGAAUUAAACAUUGCAGAUAUGCCCAAGAAGAAAAAUCGAUUUAUUUCAACCAAUUAAUUGACUUCAAGUAGAUGUUUUCAAAAUAACUCAUUACUGAUCUGAAAUAAACCAUCCUCAGUCCCACUCCUGUGUGUGUGU